rfam:Hepatitis C virus genotype 6 isolate ZS202 polyprotein gene, complete cds
GUCCCCGUCCUAGGUGGCCCCCUCGGUGGGGUCGCGGCUGCUCUCGCUCACGGUGUGAGGGCAAUCGAGGACGGGGUGAACUAUGCAACAGGGAAUCUCCCYGGUUGCUCUUU